rfam:TPA: Bos taurus chromosome 5, whole genome shotgun sequence.
UCCCUGGUAGUCCAGUGGUUAAGACUCUGUGCUUCCACUGCAGAGGACACAGGUUCGAUCCCUGGUUGGGGAA